rnacentral:lncRNA from 1 species
GACCAUCCAGGAGUUUGUUAGUAAGGCCUUAGAUGCGUACACAAAAGAAAGGGAAAAUCAAGAUUUCAAAUAUUGGGAAUCUUGGUCCAAGACACCAAAUCUUGCAGCCAAAGCGCAUUGGAUCUCCAUUACGAGCAUCAACAAUUCAAUUUCGGUAGGAGAUGGAUCACAAGCCCAAAUUCUUCCAAGCCCAAUCAAGAAAUCCACCCAUACUUAGUUGAAAAUCAGGCCAAAUUGUCAAAGUGGCCCAAGUUGUAAAGUUUUAUUUUUUUAUUUUACUUAGUUUAAAUUUUUAUAUUCAGUCCAAGAGUCCCAAAUAAAAGACCCUUGGCCGAAUUUCCAUAUUAAAAUAAUUAGGAGUUUUUUUUUUUUUUUAGUUUUAGUUUUAGUGUUCUAAUUAAAUUAGGAAAACAUUUGAAAGGCCUAUUUAUAUGGCUUGGCCAGCCACCCUACAUUACAAUACAAUUAUAUUGAAAAUUUCAGAUUUGAUUUGAGUGAAAAUUCUCUUUGAGUUCUUCAAGGAUUUUCUCUUGAGUUUUCUUUAGAAGUUGUUUUAACAAUCUUUUGAUUGUGGAGCCAUCUUCAACCUUCUUCUUGCCAUUGAUAUUCUUUGGAGGGGAGAUUAGAGCCGUUUGAAGGGAUUUGUGAAAUCUUUCGGGAUUUCAAGGAUCUUUAGGACUUUCUUUAUUUCUUGCUAUUUCAUUUUAUUUCUUUAUUUCUACUUGUGCUGAAUCAUUAUCUAAUCUAUUUUCUGUUCUUAUUGUGUUUUCAGCCUUUUUCUAUCUUAAGGAAUCAGCCCAAAAAAAUCCCCAAUUUCUAGGGUUUUUUUUAUACUCUUUUUGGGUGAAAUUAGAUUGUCGAAAUUUGGGGAAAACUAUCUUGGUGUUCAAUUGGGCAGAAUCACAAUCUCCUUGAGGGUUUCAAGAACCCUAACACUUAUUUCUAUUCUCUAUUUGAUUCUUUACUGUUUUGGGGAUUUUAUUUCAG